GUCAGUGUGGUAUCAUGGUUUAAGCAUUGGACUAGGAUUCCAGGAAACCAGGGUUCAAAUCCCUGCUAAGCCA